AGAGUUUGAUCCUGGCUCAGAACGAACGCUGGCGGCGUGCCUAAUACAUGCAAGUCGAACGAGAAAGUGGCUUCGGUCAUGAGUAAAGUGGCAGACGGGUGAGUAAUACAUAGGUAACCUACCUCUAAGAUGGGGAUAACCUUCCGAAAGGAGGGCUAAUACCGAAUGAGACCACAGUGACUACGGUCACAGGGGUCAAA
rnacentral:rRNA from 1 species